UAUGCAUCAUCAGAGGGUGUAUUAACGAAAACAGCAGGAUGUUCUCCUUCCCCUAAGAGAAAAAGGAUAAGAAGAGGAUGGCACAGUGGGUGGAAGUUUGUGACAACCCAAAGUCAGUGCUUCCACCUGAAAACUGAAAUUCCGGGUGAUCUGUAGUAGCUACUUUAAAGAAAAAUACUUCAUGAGGAAAAGAUUAACAACAUCAGCAGUUCCAACACUGAACUUAUUUGUGUCAGAAGCUACCUCUAUUAAAAUAGAGCAAUGAGACACCUGGAUGCAAAUGAAAAGAAGAAAAAGAAGAUUUUAAACCUGACUGCACCAGGGGAGUGGAAAACGUGAUUUUCGAUUGUAUAUUAUUAUUGAUAUAUAUAUAUAUAUUUAUUAUAUUUCAGUAAAAAUUUAAUAUAUUUCCAUUACUG